CCCUUAGAUGUUCUGGGCCGCACGCGCGCUACACUGAUUCAUUCAACGAGUCUAAAACCUGCUCUGAUAGGGGUGGGUAAUCUUUUGAAUGUGCAUCGUGAUUGGGAUAGAUGAUUGCAAUUUUUCAUCUUCAACGAGGAAUGCCUAGUAAACGCAAGUCAUCAGCUUGCAUUGAUUACGUCCCUGCCCUUUGUACACACCGCCCGUCGCUCCUACCGAUUGAAUGAUCCGAUGAAUAUCAUGGAUUGAGGAUUAUAGCAGGUUCGCCUGUCUUGAUCUUCGAGAAGUGAAGUAAAUCUUAUCAUUUAGAGGAAGGAGAAGUCGUAACA
rnacentral:rRNA from 1 species